rnacentral:rRNA from 1 species
UUGGAGGGCAAGUCUGGUGCCAGCAGCCGCGGUAAUUCCAGCUCCAAUAGCGUAUAUUAAACUUGUUGCAGUUAAAAAGCUCGUAGUUGUAUUUUUGCGUUGACGGUUUGACCAUUUGGUUGGUUAAUUCGUUUUCGCUUUUGGGAAUUUCCCUUUUUACUUUGAGAAAAUUAGAGUGUUUCAAGCAGACUUUUGUCUUGAAUACUUCAGCAUGGAAUAAUAGAGUAGGACUUUGGUUCUAUUUUGUUGGUUAUUGAACCUUAGUAAUGGUUAAUAGGAACGGUUGGGGGCAUUC